rnacentral:miRNA from 1 species
ACAUGGUUUCUUGGUGUUCUUGCUAAAAUGCAGAUUCUGAUUCUGUUUGGGGUGAGGCCUGAGAGUCUGAAUUCUAUCCAGCACCCAGGUGACACCCAU